CCUACGGGAGGCAGCAGUGAGGAAUAUUGGUCAAUGGACGAGAGUCUGAACCAGCCAAGUAGCGUGAAGGAUGACUGCCCUAUGGGUUGUAAACUUCUUUUAUAAAGGAAUAAAACGAGGCACGUGUGCCUUUUUGCAUGUACUAUAUGAAUAAGGAUCGGCUAACGCCGUGCCAGCAGCCGCGGUAAUACGGAGGAUCCGAGCGUUAGCCGGAUUUAUUGGGUUUAAAGGGAGCGUAGAUGGGUUGUUAAGUCAGUUGUGAAAGUUUGCGGCUCAACCGUAAAAUUGCAAUUGAUACUGGCAGUCUUGAGUACAGUUGAGGUAGGCGGAAUUCGUGGUGUAGCAGUGAAAUGCUUAGAUAUCACGAAGAACCCCGAUUGCGAAGGCAGCUUACUAAACUGUGACUGACAUUGAUGCUCGAAAGUGUGGGUAUCAAACAGGAUUAGAUACCCGGGUAGUC
rnacentral:rRNA from 1 species